rnacentral:lncRNA from 1 species
UAAGUAGGUAAAUAGUUCCUAGAAAGAAAUUGUAAAAUUUAACGAAGAAGCUAGAUUCAAUGACCUGAAAAGGUCCAUCCAGUUUGAAUGAAGCAAUACAAAUUUUGGAUGCUUUUGCCACAUUCAGUGUAUUAUAAAUCACAAAGUUUUAAAGAGUGGUGGAAAGAUCUUAGAGGACUAGGUCAGAAUAAAUCUGCCUUUAAUUUUAAAAUAGCUGUACCAUAUCUCAAGUUAGCAAGGAUAAAUUAUUUUGAUGCCUGUUUAUAUGAAAUAACCACCUGUGUCAUUGUGGAAAAAUCUAAAAUCUUGGAAAAGAAAUUUAAAUAGUUCAGUAUUUGGUAGCCAAUACUCAGUAGUAACAGCCAUGUUUUAAAGACCUGUUUUUUGAGAAGACCGCUUAUAUGUGUGAUACAGAUUGAUCUGAAAUUAUGCCGUUAUGGAGGGGUGGAGAGAGGGAUAUAUUUUAAUUUUAACGUGAAUUAUUAUAAGGCUUCUUAAAGUUCUUUCUUUAAGAAUUCAUGCAUAUUUUGAGUCACUGGCCUUUCCUUGCAUUGCCUGGCUAAAUUGGAAAGUAAAUAACAAUAUGUGUAAGUUAAUUUUUAAAACAAUAUUGUUUCUGAGGUUUAGAGAUUUGUUCUUGUCGGGUCUUGGGGUAAAGGACAAAGGUUUUAAAAGUUUGGAGUAACUAGUGCUAAUGCUCUUCCUACAGCUGUUAGUUGCUGACAGUGAUAGGCUCUGGAGAAGUAAGCUGCUUGAAACUUGUGGUCACCAGGCUUGAACUGCAGAACCAGGAGGUACACCUAAGCGUCAGUUUUAUCAAUAGCUGUAUAUUCCUGGGCCCAUUUAUGAUGAGCCUUUGUUGAGGGAAUGGGAGCAAGCUGUGGUCCCAAGGGCAGGAUGCAGACUUGAUAGAAAGAGUAGUCUUGUGAUUGUGACCUAGUCAGUACUUUAUGGUGGACCUUUAUAAAGCUUUAUUUGAUGGCCAACAGCAGGUGUAUAACUAACCGAAUGUUUGGAUAUCUAUCCCUGGUUAGGUUAUCUGUCUUUUGUCUCUGGCUCUUCCUUGCCUCAUUUUUAGAAUGGAAUUUGUAGUUGCUUAUAUUUGGAAUUUGCUUUGGGUUCUUUUUGGGGAGGUGGGGGUAAUAACAUGUUUUGUAGAGGUUAUUAAAUUGAAUAGGUAUCAUUAUGCUAAUUCUUUGUAUAUGAUAGUAUAUUACGCUGUGUGUAGUUAAUUCCAAAAGCUUGCAUUCUCAUCACCACAAAAACCCUAUUAUGUUUAUAAAAGUAGUGAUAGUUUUUUUUUUUUUUUUUUUGCAAGGAAGGAGGAUGCAAGUAAGGCAGCUUAUGCAUCAAAGAAUUAAAUGUGCAACAUGAAUUGGAUUGGGAGUGAGUAGGAUCAGUAAUAAUAUGGCCUUAAUAAUCUAUUAGAUUAGAGUAGCUAGUUUUAACUUGGUAGUAGAAGGAAGAAAGAUAAAGAGGAAAGGAGUGAAGUAGCAAGUUCUCUAAACAUAGGAAUCCUACCUUUAGCCUUACUGGGACCAUUAGGCCUAUUCUUGGUGACAGAGAGAGACUGUCUAGCAAAUCAAAGAAGUUUCUGAAGACACAUGUACUAUUCUCUGUGCACAUUGUAGUCCUUGGUAUCAUACUCUUUGGAUCACUGGAUUAAUGGUUCCAAGUGAGCCUUCAGUGAGGUGUUCGUUAGUGUUUGAGGAAAAGUAAGAGAAGUUCUUGCUUAUUGCAGCUAUUGACUGAUGACUCAUUCUCAAAAACAUAUAUCUAAAUCUUGAUCAUCCAGUAUAUACUGCAAGAUUGUCAAUAACCACCUAUAAAAUGAUAGUAGACACUGAGAUCCCUUCUGAUUUGAAAAUGAUGUGAUUUCUGUACUUAAAUGUAAUUAGCAAACCAUGUGUGUUAGGUUCUGAUGAAAUACUCAUAUUCUUAAUGCUUUAUCUAGAAAUAUUAACUGUUUAAGCUUGAGUCAAAUCACAUUUAUUGACCAUUUUACUGUAUAUUCAGUGUAAUGGGAUUGUAUAUAUACAUAAUUUAUGUAACUAUAUGCAUUGCUCUGAGCUCUGUUUUUUCCUCCUUUGAUAGGAUACAUCAAAAUACUUGGAGAUAAAUAGUUCAGAGAAAAAGCAUUCAACACUGUACAAAGACUAUAUAAAGUUACCAAGAUCAUAUCUUCUAAUACACUUAGUUUACUGUAGGGUAUUGUAAAAAUUCUACUUGACAGCCAACAGAUUGUCUUAGACCUAUUUGUAACAGUGGUGUCAAAGCCUUUUUGCUAGAUAGCCUUUGAUAUAACUUCAUGGGUUCUUACCUGGAAAUCAUUUCUUUGGGGGAAAUCAGUGUGCUGAAUGAAUUACAGCAGCAGUUCAUAAAUACCAGUGAUUUUAAUUGCACAUCAUUAAUUUAUUUAUUUUUUUAUUUUUAUUUUUUUGUCUUUUUGCUAUUUCUUUGGGCCGCUCCUGCGGCAUAUGGAGGUUCCCAGGCUAGGGGUUGAAUCGGAGCUGUAGCUGCCAGCCUAUGCCAGAGCCACAGCAACGCGGGAUCCGAGCCGCGUCUGCAACCUACACCACAGCUCAUGGCAACGCCGGAUCGUUAACCCACUGAGCAAGGGCAGGGACCGAACCCGCAACCUCAUGGAUCCUAGUUGGAUUCCUUAACCACUGCGCCAUGACGGGAACUCCUGCACAUCAUUAAUUUAAACAUAGUAGAACAUAAGACUGAGAUUUUCAUAUACUUGGAUUCUCUUUUCCCAGAUAUUUUUUUUGCCAUUUACUUCAUUCAAAUUUCACCUUAUCAGAGAAGGUUUUCCCUAUUACCUUAAUUCCCAAUACUGUUUUUCCUCCUUAUCAAUUAUGCCACCCAGCUUUUGUCUCUUUCCCCACUAGAAUAUAAAUUUCAUGAGGACAGAGUCUAUUUUGCUAAUGUCUGUACCUCCACUAGCCUAAAUUAAGUAAUUUUUUACAUUAUUGAUGAAUAAAUUAAAAUCUUACAUUUAUAUAGAUAAAGCACUUUCAUAUAAUAUUUUCUCUAAUUCUUUCAGCCACUUUGAGUUACAAACAGGACAAGUGGUGUUUUGUUUAUUUUUUCAUGAAAAUAGGUUUGUAUCUCUGUUUGACUCAAUCCACUACUUAUCCUUUUGUACAUUGUCUAGUUUUAAUGUUCAAGGAGAGUUAAAACCUGGUACCUAAGAGAUUUUUCCUUUUUCUUUUGGUGACACAGAGUAGAACUAUUGCUGAUACUACUACUACUGUUACAAAAAAGGUUUCUCUGCUACCACAAAAAGUAAUACUUAUUUCUCCUAGCAAAAUUUUUAUUAUUUAUUUAUUUAUUGCCACACCCAUGGCACAUGAGGUUCCCAGGCUAGGGGCGAAUUGGAGCCGUAGCCACUGGCCUAUACCACAGCCACAGCAGUGCCAGAUCCAAGCACACCAUAGCUCAUGGCAACACCAGAUCCUUAUCCUUAACCCACUGAGUGAGGCGGGGGAUCAGACCUUCAUCCUCAUAGAUACUAGUCAGAUUCAUUUCUGCUGUGCCAUGACUGGGACUCCCUCCUUAACAAAAAAUUUAAAAAAAUGCUUGCGUUGACAAAUCCUUAAAGGAAACAAAUUGGGAGUGGGGUUAAUCAUUUCUUGGGGAAUGGUAAUAGCAAUGAAGUAUGGGUAAGGUCAGAUUUAAAAGUUGAAGUGUAAGAAUGAAGUCAACUUUGGGGUUCAGAAAUAUCAAAUGAGCUUAAAGUCCCUACUAUGUGCCAGGUAGACAAAAGAUUGAAGUCCUAAAGAUGGAAAUGGUAGACUACGUUAGAUAGUGUGAACUUUAUAAGGUCAUCAGGCAAGAGAAGGCCUGAAGGAAGAGAAUGGGCCAACCUCCUUGAAAGAGUUUUCCCUCAGGAGUUCCUGUUGUGUCUCAGUGGGUUAAGAAUCUGACAUAGUGUCCAUGAGGGUUUGGGUUCAGUCCCUGGCUUGCUUAGUGGGUUAAGGGUCUGGCGUUGCCACAAGCUGCGGCUUAGGGCAUAGGUCACAGAUGUGUUUCAGGUCCUGUGUUGCUGUGGCUAUGGCAUAGGCCAGCAGCUGCAGCUCUGAUUAGACCCCCAGCCAGGGAACGUCAUAUGCUGUGGGUGUGGCUGUUAUUAAAAAAAAAAAAAAUUCUUCUAUACAAGACAUGGCUGGGUAGUUAGAAAGAACCUGGUGCACUUAACAGAAAGGAAGCCAAGAGGAAGGAAGGCAUGGGGGGUGCUGGGCCAGGUCAUAAAGGGCCAGACCACACAAGACUUUG